AACCUACCUUAUUCAGGGGGAUAGCCCGAAGAAAUUCGGAUUAACACCGCAUAAAAUCACAGCACAGCAUUGUGUAAUGAUCAAAUAUUUAUAGGAAUAAGAUGGGCAUGCGUGUCAUUAGCUAGUUGGCGGGGUAACGGCCCACCAAGGCGACGAUGACUAGGGGAUCUGAGAGGAUGACCCCCCACACUGGUACUGAGACACGGACCAGACUCCUACGGGAGGCAGCAGUAAGGAAUAUUGGUCAAUGGAGGCAACUCUGAACCAGCCAUGCCGCGUGCAG
rnacentral:rRNA from 1 species